rnacentral:rRNA from 1 species
GACGAACGCUGGCGGCGUGCUUAACACAUGCAAGUCGAACGAUGAAGCCCAGCUUGCUGGGUGGAUUAGUGGCGAACGGGUGAGUAACACGUGGGCAACCUGCCCCAAACUCUGGGAUAACUCCUCGAAAGAGGUGCUAAUACCGGAUACGAACUAGACAGACAUCUGUACUAGUUGGGAAGUUUUUCGGUUUGGGAUGGGCCCGCGGCCUAUCAGCUUGUUGGUGAGGUAACGGCUCACCAAGGCUACGACGGGUAACCGGCCUGAGAGGGCGACCGGUCACGCUGGGACUGAGACACGGCCCAGACUCCUACGGGAGGCAGCAGUGGGGAAUAUUGCGCAUUGGGCGAAAGCCUGACGCAGCGACGCCGCGUGAGGGAUGAAGGUCUUCGGAUCGUAAACCUCUUUCAGUAGGGACGAAGCGUAAGUGACGGUACCUAAAGAAGAAGCACCGGCUAACUACGUGCCAGCCGCCGCCGUAA